AAUAAAUUCGAUGUGGGUUAGUAAUUGGUUAGGUUACAUUCGGGUUUGACGAUUUAAACGGGUUUGAGUCAAUUUCGAUUCAGGUCGGGCUUGGUUCGGGUCAAUAAUUCACGAGUUAUAUAUUCAGGUCGUGUCAGUUGAUGUUCCGUUCGGGUCUCAAAUUCUCGGAUUCACUAGGGGCUAGAGUUGGUUUCGGGUCGGGUCAUAUCAGGUUCGGGUCACCAUUUUUUCGGGUUCAAAUGGAUCGCUUAAUGAUUGGGUUCGGGUCGGUUUUUCGGGUCGAAUUAGCUUUGAUAGGUCUAGAUACAUCGAUAAUUUUAUUAACAUGUAGCAUAUUUAUGGAAUUUUGUUCUCUUCUCAGAUUAUCCAUGGAAAUUACUCUUUAGUAACUAAUAACUUGGUAAUCACUGGCCUUAAAAAAAAAAAAAAAAAAAAAACUUGGUAAUCACUUCUAUAAAAAAUAUUGGAGUACUACUCACCAUUUUUUUUUUUCUUUUUGGUUGUUACUAUGUUUUAUUAAAGACUAUCUGCAUCUAUAUACUCAAUAAUUUUUAAUCCUAUCUUUAAUUAUAACACGUGCAUUAGCACGUGCAUAUUCUAGUGGCUAAGAGAGAGUAAAAGGGUAAUCUAAUAUAUAAUUUAACAGUUACUUUUCACCAAAAUCCUCCAAAUCCCCAAUCUUAAUCUCUCAUUCACUCCCGCCUUUUCCACUUAAUCUCUCUACACAGCCUAUUCUACUAACUUAUUAGAUUUGAAUUUCAAAAAAAUAAAAAAUAAAAAAUAAAAAAGAAAACCCCAAAUCGUGGUAAGGCAGUUAUCUUAACUCCACCACACUACUCCAUAACUGCACACACACACUACAACAGAGUAAUAGAGUAUGGAUUAUAUACUACAUACUUUGCAACACUCAUUUCACUCACACACACAAAAAAAAAAAACACAAAUCUGAUUGUUUGGGGUUUCAAUCAGGUAACCAACAUUUUGCUCACACAAUUCCGGCGAAGUCAUACAUCUACGCCGUCGUCUUCGAUGUUGCCUUCUUCUUCUUCUUCGUGGAUUCACUUGAGAUAGGUGCUUUUUGGUGUUACUAAUUCAUCUUCUUCUUCCCUAAUUUCAAGUAUAUAAAACACUCCGUUGACUGCGUUUCACCUUUAGCUUAAAUUUCUACACCCUACAGGAAAUGUACACAAGAUACACACCAUGUCGUUGUAUUACCCUUACGACAUUGAAUGUGAAUAUUAGAGUGUGUUUAUUAUGGAUGGUC